ACGGCGAGUGAGCGGCAACAGCUCAAAUUUGAAAUCUGGCGUCUUUGGCGUCCGAGUUGUAAUUUGCAGAGGGCGCUUUGGCAUUGGCAGCGGUCCAAGUUCCUUGGAACAGGACGUCACAGAGGGUGAGAAUCCCGUACGUGGUCGCUAGCCUUUACCGUGUAAAGCCCCUUCGACGAGUCGAGUUGUUUGGGAAUGCAGCUCUAAAUGGGAGGUAAAUUUCUUCUAAAGCUAAAUACUGGCCAGAGACCGAUAGCGCACAAGUAGAGUGAUCGAAAGAUGAAAAGCACUUUGGAAAGAGAGUUAAAAAGCACGUGAAAUUGUUGAAAGGGAAGCGCUUGCAGCCAGACUUGCCUGUAGUUGCUCAUCCGGGUUUUUACCCGGUGCACUCUUCUAUAGGCAGGCCAGCAUCAGUUUGGGCGGUUGGAUAAAGGUCUCUGUCAUGUACCUCUCUUCGGGGAGAACUUAUAGGGGAGACGACAUGCAACCAGCCUGGACUGAGGUCCGCGCAUCUGCUAGGAUGCUGGCGUAAUGGCUGUAAGCGGCCCGU
rnacentral:rRNA from 1 species